rnacentral:rRNA from 1 species
UACGAAGGGGGCUAGCGUUGUUCGGAAUUACUGGGCGUAAAGCGCGCGCAGGCGGUCUUCCAAGUCAGUGGUGAAAGCCCGGAGCUCAACUCCGGAAUUGCCAUUGAAACUGUGAGACUGGAGUACGAGAGAGGUGAGUGGAAUUCCCAGUGUAGAGGUGAAAUUCGUAGAUAUUGGGAAGAACACCGGUGGCGAAGGCGGCUACACUGGCUCGUAACUGACGCUCAGGCGCGACAGC